CGCCGCCGGCUCCGUCCGGGGGAGGAAAGUCCGGGCAACACAGAGCACCGCGCAAGCCAACGACUUGACAGCCGUGAGGUUGUGGGAGCGUAACAGAAAAUAACCGCCCGCGUGCGGGCCGCGAUCCCCCGCGCGUCUUUUGAGACGGCGGGUGCGGUCGGCGGAACAUCCGGCGGGUAAGGGUGAAAAGGCGGGGUAAGAGCCCACCGCGGAGGCAGCGAUGUCAUCCGGCCGUACGUCCCGCGGGUUGCAAGACCAUGUAUACCGACAAUCAAGGGUUGCUCGUCCGAUGUCGGGGGGUAGGUUGCUUGAGGCGGCGGGAGACCGUCGUCCUAGAUAAAUGACAGGGGCCCGGGGCUCGCUCCGGGAACAGAACCCGGCUUACAGG
rnacentral:RNase_P_RNA from 1 species